AAAAAACAAGUUUCAUUUCCAUAGCCUUCGGACACCGUGGUGUUAAAUGAAUACUCCAUUCAGAGGAGGGAGCCCAGCCGUCCAGUCCUUGACAAACCCCUUUAAUGCGCCAGAAAGGGUGACAAUCUGUUUAACUUCUUGUCACGCCGCACUGAAGCUCUAUCCGCUAGACCAUGGAGGCAGUAUGCGAUAAUGAAUGUCUUUCAGCUGAUGCACAUAUUCUGACUGAGAAUGGUUCCGUACAUUUGACUCUUUUGAAUGUUUGGACCAUCUGUAUGUACAGAAGUGUGACGUAAAUAAACUAUUGUCUGUCUGUC